rnacentral:rRNA from 1 species
GGUUAAGUGACUAAGCGUACACGGUGGAUGCCUUGGCAGUCAGAGGCGAUGAAAGACGUAGUAACUUGCGAUAAGCCCAGAUUAGGUAGUAACAACCAUUUGAGUCUGGGAUUUCUGAAUGGGGAAACCCACGUGCAUAAGCACGUAUCCUUACCUGAAUACAUAGGGUAAGGAGGCGAACCGGGGGAACUGAAACAUCUAAGUACCCCGAGGAAAAGAAAUCAACCGAGAUUCCGAAAGUAGCGGCGAGCGAAAUUGGACUAGCCCUUAAGCUUUACACGCGUUAGACGAACGGUCUGGAAAGUCCGACGAUACAGGGUGAUAGUCCCGUAGUUGACGACGUGUGUUCAGUGAAAUCGAGUAGGGCGGGACACGUGAUAUCCUGUCUGAAUAUGGGGGGACCAUCCUCCAAGGCUAAAUACUACUGACUGACCGAUAGUGAACCAGUACCGUGAGGGAAAGGCGAAAAGAACCCCUGUGAGGGGAGUGAAAUAGAACCUGAAACCGUGUACGUACAAGCAGUAGGAGCAGGCUUUGUCCUGUGACUGCGUACCUUUUGUAUAAUGGGUCAGCGACUUAUAUUCAGUGGCAAGGUUAACCAUCUAGGGGAGCCGUAGGGAAACCGAGUCUUAACUGGGCGUUCAGUCUCUGGAUAUAGACCCGAAACCAGGUGAUCUAGCCAUGGGCAGGUUGAAGGUUGAGUAACAUCAACUGGAGGACCGAACCGACUAAUGUUGAAAAAUUAGCGGAUGACUUGUGGCUAGGGGUGAAAGGCCAAUCAAACCUGGAGAUAGCUGGUUCUCCCCGAAAGCUAUUUAGGUAGCGCCUCGGACGAAUACUACUGGGGGUAGAGCACUGUUAAGGCUAGGGGGUCAUCCCGACUUACCAACCCUUUGCAAACUCCGAAUACCAGUAAGUACUAUCCGGGAGACACACGGCGGGUGCUAACGUCCGUCGUGGAGAGGGAAACAACCCAGACCGCCAGCUAAGGUCCCAAAUUACUACUAAGUGGGAAACGAUGUGGGAAGGCUCAGACAGCCAGGAUGUUGGCUUAGAAGCAGCCAUCAUUUAAAGAAAGCGUAAUAGCUCACUGGUCGAGUCGGCCUGCGCGGAAGAUGUAACGGGGCUAAGUAGUAAACCGAAGCUGCGGCAAUAUACUUUUGUAUAUUGGGUAGGGGAGCGUUCUGUAAGCGGUUGAAGGUGUGUGGUAACGCAUGCUGGACGUAUCAGAAGUGCGAAUGCUGACAUGAGUAACGAUAAAGGGGGUGAAAAACCUCCUCGCCGGAAGACCAAGGGUUCCUGUCCAACGUUAAUCGGGGCAGGGUAAGUCGACCCCUAAGGCGAGGCCGAAAGGCGUAGUCGAUGGGAAACGGGUUAAUAUUCCCGUACUUCUUACAAUUGCGAUGGGGGGACGGAGAAGGCUAGGUGGGCCUGGCGACGGUUGUCCAGGUUCAAGUGCGUAGGCUUAAGAGUUAGGUAAAUCCGGCUCUUUUUAAGGCUGAGACACGACGUCGAGCACCUACGGGUGUGAAGUCAUUGAUGCCAUGCUUCCAGGAAAAGCCUCUAAGCUUCAGAUUGUAAGGAAUCGUACCCCAAACCGACACAGGUGGUCGGGUAGAGAAUACCAAGGCGCUUGAGAGAACUCGGGUGAAGGAACUAGGCAAAAUGGUACCGUAACUUCGGGAGAAGGUACGCUCUUGAUGGUGAAGUCCCUUGCGGAUGGAGCUGACGAGAGUCGCAGAUACCAGGUGGCUGCAACUGUUUAUUAAAAACACAGCACUGUGCAAAAUCGUAAGAUGACGUAUACGGUGUGACGCCUGCCCGGUGCCGGAAGGUUAAUUGAUGGGGUUAGACUUCGGUCGAAGCUCUUGAUCGAAGCCCCGGUAAACGGCGGCCGUAACUAUAACGGUCCUAAGGUAGCGAAAUUCCUUGUCGGGUAAGUUCCGACCUGCACGAAUGGCGUAAUGAUGGCCACGCUGUCUCCACCCGAGACUCAGUGAAAUUGAAAUCGCUGUGAAGAUGCAGUGUACCCGCGGCUAGACGGAAAGACCCCGUGAACCUUUACUACAGCUUGGCACUGAACAUUGACCCUACAUGUGUAGGAUAGGUGGGAGGCUUUGAAGCACGUACGCCAGUAUGUGUGGAGCCGUCCUUGAAAUACCACCCUUGUAGUGUUGAUGUUCUAACGUCGACCCCUUAUCGGGGUUGCGGACAGUGCCUGGUGGGUAGUUUGACUGGGGCGGUCUCCUCCCAAAGAGUAACGGAGGAGCACGAAGGUGGGCUAAUCACGGUUGGACAUCGUGAGGUUAGUGCAAUGGCAUAAGCCCGCUUGACUGCGAGAAUGACAAUUCGAGCAGGUGCGAAAGCAGGUCAUAGUGAUCCGGUGGUUCUGAAUGGAAGGGCCAUCGCUCAACGGAUAAAAGGUACUCCGGGGAUAACAGGCUGAUACCGCCCAAGAGUUCAUAUCGACGGCGGUGUUUGGCACCUCGAUGUCGGCUCAUCACAUCCUGGGGCUGAAGUCGGUCCCAAGGGUAUGGCUGUUCGCCAUUUAAAGUGGUACGCGAGCUGGGUUUAGAACGUCGUGAGACAGUUCGGUCCCUAUCUGCCGUGGGCGUUGGAAGAUUGAAGGGGGCUGCUCCUAGUACGAGAGGACCGGAGUGGACGAACCUCUGGUGUUCGGGUUGUGUCGCCAGACGCAUUGCCCGGUAGCUAAGUUCGGAAUCGAUAACCGCUGAAAGCAUCUAAGCGGGAAGCGAGCCCUGAGAUGAGUCUUCCCUGAUACUUUAAGUAUCCUAAAGGGUUGUCGGAGACUACGACGUUGAUAGGUCAGGUGUGUAAGUGCUGUGAGGCAUUGAGCUAACUGAUACUAAUUGCCCGUGAGGCUUAACCAU